AUGAAAUUGGGUAACAGUUUCUUGUUAUAGAUUGAAUUAAGGAAAUUUCCAGUUGAACAUCGGGUGAAUUCUGUGAUCUUAAUCGUGGCAUCCCAGAUACUUAAUGGGUAAAAAGGAGCCAAUUUAUUAAGUAGUUACAAUUGCAAAAAUAAAAUUUUUGACAUUGAAGCAGAAAUUUGAAAUCCAUUACAACAAUCUAAUUUAAUCCCUUACAUUGAG
rnacentral:lncRNA from 1 species